ensembl:lncRNA
AUGACAUGGGGAAGGCCGACAGCGAUUUCCUAUCCAGCAUGGAGGCCAGGGAGCUGCUCUCCAGGCUCCUCCCACAGUGUUCAGCUAAGAGAUAAAGAGGAAGAGCCAUCCUGUGAACCUAGGCUGGGGAAGCCCCACUGUGCUCAGGGCCACUGUCACCAGUAUCAGCAACAUGCCAUGUCUCAGCAGCCCAAACCACCCUGCACCAGAGACAAAACAGGACAAGACCUGAGAAGGAGGCCAAGAAGGGAUACUGACAAGACUGGAGCCAAAUCCCCACGAAGACAGCUGUCUCUUGAGCCCCCUUCACAUCCAUCUGAACACCGUCUGUCCCUCUGACACUGUGCAAUGCCACAUAAGAGAUGUCCCCGUAGUGACGAGUUUGCCUAAUGUCCUGCUGGGUAAGUACCACUUUCCUAAUUCCUGCCUGAAUUCUGACCAUCCUCAGGGCAUGGGUUAAGGACCUCUUCUCCUUUGAAGCCUAUCUUGAUCCCUGGUUUGAGAUGGUCACUGCUGCUCUGAGCCCUAUGACCUGAAUUUGCACUCAUGGCCUUUACUGUGUCUGCCUCUAAUAUUCCUCUCAGGGGUCUCCUUUCUCCCACGUCCUAGCCCAGGGCCCAGGGCAUGGUAGUUGCUCAAUAAAUGUGUUUUGGAUAAGUUAUAUCCUGGAAAUACUACUGAGCUUUGUAUCCGAGACCUUGAAUUAAAAUCUUGCUCUGCUACACUGACAAGCUGGAUACACCUGACUGUGUCCUAUAGCAGUAUUAAAACGUGGCCUCAUCUGAAGGAUGGAGGUGAUGGUCUCAUUACUGCAUCCCGCACCAUCACUCUUGGUAGGUCAAAUGAGAAGCCAGAUGUUAAAUGGCUACAACAGUUGUACAAUACAACUAAAUGGGCUUCAUAAUUGUGCUUUCGCUACUUCCAUUUUACUGACCCCUAGUUUUAUCACUAUUAAAAAUGAGUACUAGAAGGAAGGUCCUAGGUUCUUCUGAACAAAUUCAUUUCAAUUUCUCAGUUAUCUCCUUCAGAAGGAACUGGUUUCAUUUAGCCUCUUCUUGAAAUCAGUUUCAGCAGAGUAAGGUGGUACAGAUCCUUUAGCUGUAAAACUAAAGAGCUGGGGCCAUUCUCUCCGCACCAAGUUGUGACUCACUGUUGUGAUCUAAGUGUUCAUAUAUUCUCAGGGGUCCCUGAACCCUCAAAGUGGGCAGAGACCACCUUCUUGGGAUCUAACAUUAUGUGUGUGAAAGUUUAAGAAGUGAAUGUGUGCCUCAUUUUGGAAAGCUAAUAUUUGUUUCUUUGUGAGCCCCAAAAGCUGAGCUAGCUGUUUGGCUUUUCAUGAGAUUUGAAGUUACUUUCAGGGCUUCCUGAGGGAGAGCAAAAUGGAACAGAAAAUUAGCAGAGAUAUUAAGGACCAGAGGAAAACACAGUAACAAGAAAUGGACAGGAGAAAUGUGGUACAGGGCACAUCCAGAUCCCAUCUCACGCAUAGGCCUGGAUGGAAACACAGGCUUCUAAGUUGGGGCUCUUGAAAAUGUUGCUGCAAUCAUGAGGAAGAUUUACUGGCUUUUGGUCAAAGCAUUAACUAAGAAGCCAACCUUGGUAUCCAGAGCAUUAUUUUCUACACCAGAUAACAGAAAUGGAGGGCCAGUUGGCUUGCUGUAUCUUUGGUUAUCACUUCCUACCUAGGGUUUCGUGAACUCCCUUGCCCUGGCAACAGACUUGCAGGCUUGUCCCUCCAUAGACAGACCUGAGUACUACUCUGAAGACCAUGGGGAAGGACAGGAUAUGUUUCUGCCCAUGGGGAUGAAACUCACCCAGAAAGCCCAGCCUACUUUUCUGCCUUCCAAGCAUAUUCGGCUGGCAGAAUUAUAAACAUUUUUGGUCACUAGCCAUUGACUUUGGGGGUUCUAGAACAGAAGCAUGAAUAGUGAUUCUUAGGUCUCAAGAACUGAGAAACAUUGUCUUCAAUAUGCAGUUGCUGAGCCCUCCUUGCCAGGAAUUGUCCCCGGCCACCCCUUCCAGCAGACCCAUAGCAGAGUGCAUGUCCCUGCUGUGUUCUCUCACAUCACCCCAUGGUGACCUCCGCCUCUGAAUUUAUUACAUGGGGCUGAAAUUAUGUGUUAACUUCUCCAUCUUCCCAAACAAACCAUAACCUUUUAGAGGUCAGGGGUGCUGCCAUAUGACCAGUUCAGGUGGCCCAAUCUUGCUUUGUGACCUAAGAGCUUAACAAAGUGUCUGGAAGUUAGCAGGUGCUCAGUACAUGUUUGUGAAAGGGAGGAAGGAAUGGCCAAACUCUUUCGGGAGCCAGGAAGUUCCAACAGAAGUGUAGAAGGACUAUUGGACCUCCAGAAUGCAAGAGGCUUCCAGCCAAGAAAAUAUGCCUGUAAUCCUAGCACUUUGGGAGGUCGAGGCAGGAGGAUCACUUGAGCCCAGGAGUUCGAGACCAGCCUGGGCAACAUUGUGGGACCCUGAUCUCCAUAAAAAAUACAAAAAUUAUCUGGGCAUGGUGGCACACACUUAUAGUCCCAGCUACUCAGAGGCUUAGGCAGGAGGAUUGCUUGAGUCUGGGAGGUUGGGGCUUCAGUGAGCCAUAAUUGCACCACUGCACUCCAACCUGGGUGAUAGAAUGAGAUUCUGUCUUGAAAAAAAAAAAAUUAUCAGUAAUAACAAAAUAAAUUUGUAGAUAGAUGCAUAGAGAGAGAGUCUGAUAAAUAGAUAAUAGUAAUAACACCACAUGAAAUGUACUGGGCAUUAAGUCUGUGUUAAGCAUUUUGCAGGCAUCCUCUCAUGUAAUUUCCCCACAGCACUAUGAGGUUUGCAGUAUAACCCAGUUGCGUCAGUGCGGGAAUGUGGUCCUGAGGAGCGAUCUACAUCGCUCCCUACAGAGACUCUCCCUACAGAUCUUCUGUCCAUGCCUGGAGUGAUUCUUAGGGGUCAAUGGAGGGAUGCCUCUCAGAUCUUGCUGUUUACUAUGUGUCCACCAUGUGCCAGGCAAUGGGGUGGGCCCUACAUAUGCAUUCUCAUUGAACCUCACGGGAAUCCUGAGGGAGGCAUAUUACUAUCAAUAACACCUUGAUAAAUGAAGAAAUCGAGACUUAGAAAUGGGAAAAAAUUAAAAUGAGUCCAGGCUACAGGCAGUUCCACAGAAUCUGGCAUACAGUUGUCACUCACUAAAUAUGUAUUGGAUUAAAUGAAAUGGAAUUGAAUGGAGUAUUCUCCACAAAGGUGAACUCUAUUUUCUGGUGCUUCAUUUCGCCAGACCUGGCAGAUUGCCACCCGCAAUCUCCCUUUACGAGGCUGCACUGUGCCUUGGGAGCCGUCUAAACAAGCAAGAACAGGAGCAGUACCUCCCACAUGAAGGAGAGUGUGUGGCGGUCAUGAAUUUGGGUUGAGGCUGUGGCCAGUGGGCCACAAAAUUUCAUCAGCCUUGUAAAGGGAGAUAUAUUUAUGCAAAAGACUUGCCAGUUGGACUGCAUGGGGCUCUUUCUCCCCAUAACACCUUAGGAAGGCAGUUCUGUGGUACCAGGGUGGCUGACAGCCAACCCAGCCCAGCACACGAGUGGAGAGUUGUCAAAUACAUCUGUAUAUCUGACCCAGUGGCUUGCGGCACUUAGGUGCCAGGGGCUCCAGCAGCGAUCCAGAGAAGAACGAGGAAAUUGUGUUAAGUCACUGAAAAUAAUUUGCUUUAAAAAAGUGUAUGUAUUGGUUGUCUCCUACCUAGAAAUCUCUCUCAGUGGGGGAAUAAUUUUGGAUUUCUAUAGCUAACUUGGAAAUGAGGACUUAUAAUAUUUUUGGUUGGUAACACCAAAAGUCUGUGCAGUUUAAUAUCACCAGAUUUAAUAUUAAAAUUGGAAUGUGGGGUCUAAAUGGUAAUUCAAACAAUUAUAAUUAUAUAUUAAAUACACUGUAUUUUAAUUAUAUAAUUGCAUAUUAAUAUUUGUAUACUGACUGUUCGUAUUAA